rnacentral:rRNA from 1 species
CAGUAGCCACGGGAAUACAGAGGGUGCAAGCGUUAAUCGGAAUUACUGGGCGUAAAGCGCGCGUAGGUGGUUUGUUAAGUUGGAUGUGAAAUCCCCGGGCUCAACCUGGGAACUGCAUCCAAAACUGGCAAGCUAGAGUAUGGUAGAGGGUGGUGGAAUUUCCUGUGUAGCGGUGAAAUGCGUAGAUAUAGGAAGGAACACCAGUGGCGAAGGCGACCACCUGGACUGAUACUGACACUGAGGUGCGAAAGCGUGGGGAGCAAACAGGAUUAGAUACCCGCGUAGUCCCUGUCUCUUAUAC